GAGUAGUUAGUCCAACUAAGACAGCUGAUUUCGACUCAACUAAUUAUGGUUCAAACCCAUAACUACUCU
rnacentral:tRNA from 1 species